UUCGCGUUUUGUUUUGUAUAAGAAUUUCUGUUCUGGCAAAUCAACUUUUAAACUUCUUCUAACCAUGCUCUGUUUAUCGACCUCAUCGUUCCAUGAAGCAAUAACAUAGUAUCAUAAUCUUCAUUGUGUAUAUUAUCAAUCCAUUAAUCCUAUAAACGUGUUCUUCUUUCUAGUCAGAUCGUCGAACAUUGCACUAAAAUCCGGAACACAAUGGAACAACGAUUCCAACGGAAUAGACUAUGCUAGAUUAUACGAGCAUAACAUGAGUCACCAUGUACACCUAAACCCCGUUCAACCUUCCAGCCCUAUAGAUCUGCACUUUAUACACGCUCCUACGCAUUCGAUGCCAAGUAGUGAUUUACUGAUUCAGCACGAGCUUAGGCGAAAGCGGGACGACACCAGCACCGUUACCAGCAGCGACCGAUACAUCGUACGGCGACGUUUUCCGUCGAAAACGAAUCACGUUCUCAUCGAUCCACAUAUAACGAGUAUACUACCGCGGGAAACGCGUCAUUAAGGAUUCCACGGGUAAUUGCCUAACGACUCUGUCACGGCUGAUUCUAUGGAAUUUCCCGCUUCAAAACACUGAAACAUAGUGCGUUUCGUGAUAGUACAGCGGUCGAAGAAAGUGAAUUAUUUGCAUAAAGUUUGUGGUAAAUUACUGUAGUACGAUAAGCGAAGUUAACAUUAUGUUACUUGGCUUUUUUACUUUUUCCUGUUUGAAAUUUAUUAAAGGAAUUUCAAUAAUAUGUACAUGACGAUAGUAUCUACGAUAGUAUCUAUUAUACGUAAAUUUACGAAAUUUGUUAACCAUAGGAAAACGCAAUUGAGUUGAAAAUGACUUAAAGAACGUAAUCUGAAGUUAAUUUCUAUUAUACUUUACAAAUUUAAAUUAUAGUCUCAAUUUUUAGCAAACAUAAAGUCACAUUUUCAGAAAUUUUGAUCUACAUUUUUGACUUGUCUAUUUUAUGAAACAUUGUUCCCUUUCUAAUCGCAUCGUUAAUAGCAGUUCUGUAUUAAAAAUCUCGUGUAAAUAAAGCAUUGUUAAGCUAGGAGGAUCUUAUUAUUCGUCAUAGUAUGGAGAUCUGUUCAUUCAACGACCGCUGAAUGAAGCUUUGAGCCAGUACUCGUGAUCGUCUUGCGUAAAUCGAGCAACAUUUAAAGGUCACCAUUACGCUCGUCUAAGCUACUACACUCUUUAGUCAGAGUAUUGGUUACAGAGAAUUCAUCUUUUUCCCCCGGUUACUUUACGAAGCACGUCAAUCAGCAUUGAUAUGGCGAAUAAAGUAUCGAAGGAUUAUGUUUCUAAAUGAUUUAAGAGGACGAGAAUAUCGGAAAUUUUCCAUCAAGUUGCAUAGUCACACUUUUACGUUUGCAUCAUUGUGUGCGCAACUUAUCUCUGACAUUAACAGUCAUGAUAAGUACAGACCUCUUCAAUCUGGAACUAAAUUCCAAACUUAUCGCUGAUUUUGUCUUUAUAAUCUUUAGUAUACGAAUAAUAUCAUUAAAUCGAUCGAUUCCGUUCGAAGAAUUAAUAUUACGAAAAAUGAUUGCACAUGGUCUAUUCGAAAAGUUAAUGAGAUUACUUGCUUUAUCGUGUUAGAUACACGAAUAAAACUUAAAAUACACACGAUGCUAUUUUAUAUUCUAAAAAUACCAUGCGUAAAUAGUAUUGCGACGCAAAGCCAACUCGUUGCGUACAGCAGAGUAACAUUUCACAGAACGUCGAACGAGCAACAUCCCAUUAACCCGUCAACAUCGACGAGGGAACCGCAAGCAAUAACUGCGAACUUCAUUCUAAUUUACUUAACGCGCAUUAGCAAGUGGUGACGACUCGUUCGUCGAAUAAUCGUGUCCACGCUUGGUCCGAUCCAUUCUGGCUCGCACGUGUGCUCAUACGAAAAGCAAACCUGCACAUGCUGUCCAUAUGCUUGAACAGACACGCGUGGAAAAGAGUACAUACGUUUUGUAAAUGCGCUCGUUUUCGACACAACGGCGAUGUAAUGCUCUUGCGAGCGCACUCUCGCUUCUGCAGUUCGCAUUCGUCUAUGCACAUUGUACAUCCGCUCGUAUCGAUCGGCAAUGGAUUUACCGUCCUGGAUAUACCGUUACGAUUAUUGACGAUCAGUAUGGGUGUACUUGAACAGUGUCUCAUACACUAGGUAUUCAUGAUGAGUCGAUAGAUGUCGUUAUCUAAAAUAAUUCAUCUUCCCUGUUGGCUGUGGCAAAGAAUAUUUUAGAUCAAAUAUUAUAUUAUUUAAUGUAUCAUAUCUUCCCGCUAAUUCCAAACUUCAAAAAAGCAACGAAUUAUACAUAUACACAAACCAACUCGUAUUUCCCCGAUACCUCAACCUUCUUCUCAUUUACGAAAUUCGCGAAUCUAGUUCACAUAUCGAACACAUCAAACAUAUCAAGAAAGCAAAAUUUCAUAGUGAAGAUAAGUAACGGGGCGACGUAUUGAGAUGGGACGCCUCGAAUCCGUUUGUGAGAGGGUUUCACAAGGUGUUUGCUCGCUCGGCGACGGUUGGGUAUACGACAAAUAGCAGCGCGACUCAAUUAUUCGAGGAAGAAGGUGACACGACAGAAGCUUGAGGAAUGCCAGUCGAAGCGGGGAAGCGAGGAACUUCAAACGUGUGUGCGCAUAUGCACCAACGAUAUCCUCGUGAAUUCGAUUCGAGGCACGCGUGUUGGCUGACUGAUAUUGCAAAAUCGCUGCACGUUACUUAUUAGCAUAAACUCUUUGUUGCCUAUGACGCCGAUUUACCGGACGCAUCUUCUCGUCCCUCGUUACGCAUCGAUUACAUUAUGUUAUCGUUCGAUUUUCCCAGGAAGAUUUAACGACUAUUCGUGCUCGAUUAUUCGAUGUAAAAGUACACUAAAAAUUUCAAUGUAUGAUCAGAAACAUUCGAAGACAAUGGAAUUAACUAGCGGAACAUUGCAUCCUGGAGAGUAGCAAUGGUCAAGUAGCGCGUUCGCAAGUUGAUGCAGUUGCACGACCUAAAUUUCCUGUUCGUUAAAUAUUUUACGUUGCAGUGGUGACCGUGUAUAUACGAAAGGCGAUAGUCGACGAAAAGCAGAUCCGCUUUUCUUGGCGUUAACGUGCCGACGAUCCACCUUGUUUGUCGAUAGCGUUGCUCUACCGUGAUCAGGUAGUUCCAGUCGAUAUUUGUACGAUGUUUCGAUCAAUAUUACAAGCAGUGGCCUUGUCGCAAGAUGUAAGAAGCGU